rnacentral:rRNA from 1 species
AGGGUUUGAUCAUGGCUCAGAACGAACGCUUGCGGCGCGCCUAAUACAUGCAAGUCGAACGAGGUAGCAAUACCAAGUGGCGCACGGGUGAGGAACGCGUGGAUAAUCUGCCUUUCAGUGGGGAAUAACUAUCCGAAAGGAUAGCUAAUACCGCAUAAGACCACAGGCUCUGCGGAGCAAGGGGUUAAAGGAGCAAUUCGCUGAAAGAUGAGUCUGCGUGGGAUUAGCUAGUUGGUGAGGUAAUGGCUCACCAAGGCUACGAUCUCUAACUGGUCUGAGAGGAUGACCAGUCACACUGGAACUGAGACACGGUCCAGACUCCUACGGGAGGCAGCAGUAGGGAAUAUUGCGCAAUGGGCGAAAGCCUGACGCAGCGACGCCGCGUGAGUGAUGAAGGCCUUAGGGUCGUAAAGCUCUGUUGCAUGGGACUAAGAAAGUGAAUGUACCAUGUGAGGAAGGACCGGCUAACUUCGUGCCAGCAGCCGCGGUAAUACGAGGGGUCCUAGCGUUGUUCGGAAUCAUUGGGCGUAAAGAGUAUGUAGGCGGCUAGAUAAGUCAGGUGUGAAAUCCCCGGGCUCAACCCGGGAAGUGCAUUUGAUACUGUCUAGCUUGAGUAUGGAAGAGGGUAGUGGAAUUCCUGGUGUAGUGGUGAAAUACGUAGAUAUCAGGAGGAACACCGGUGGCGAAGGCGGCUACCUGGUCCUAUACUGACGCUGAGAUACGAAAGCGUGGGGAGCAAACAGGAUUAGAUACCCUGGUAGUCCACGCCGUAAACGAUGGGUACUUGGUGUUGGAGGUAUUGACCCCUUCAGUGCCGAAGCUAACGCGUUAAGUACCCCGCCUGGGGAGUACGGCCGCAAGGUUAAAACUCAAAGAAAUUGACGGGGGCCCGCACAAGCGGUG